rnacentral:rRNA from 1 species
UACAGAGGGUGCGAGCGUUAAUCGGAAUUACUGGGCGUAAAGGGCGCGCAGGCGGUUGGACAAGUGGGGUGUGAAAUCCCCGGGCUUAACCCGGGAACUGCAUUCCAGACUGUUCAGCUGGAGUACUGUAGAGGGUAGUGGAAUUUCCGGUGUAGCGGUGAAAUGCGUAGAGAUCGGAAGGAACACCAGUGGCGAAGGCGGCUACCUGGACAGAUACUGACGCUGAGGCGCGAGAGCGUGGGGAGCAAACAGG